GUUUGAGGGAAAAGCUUAGUCUUAAUCUUCUCUACCUCUAGUACUCCACUUAACACCCUUUAAAGGAAUGAUCUCUUUAUAUUCUCUCUCACCAGACCGUUAGUUCCCUGAGUGAAGAGAUGCUAUCUUGGUAUCUCCAGCUUCCAACCGGGGGCUUGGCACAGAAUAGGGGCUUGGUAAAUGUUUUCCAAAUGAAUGGGAUGUCUGAUGGAAAGAAGACAAGGUGAAGGAAUUCCUGGGUAAUAUGGAGAUGAGAAUCUGUGAGAAGGGUAAGUGACAUUGGGUGACAAAGAUGAAUGUGAGGUUGGAUGAACUGCCCUUGGGCUGGUGCGGGCUUUGGUUCCAAGUGGUGUUUAAGACCUGAAGGGAUGAGCUGGCAUCAGUUUUUUCUAAAGAUUGCUGAAUGGUUUUGCUGCCUGUUAAGACGCUUCUCUUUUGGCGGUAGGAAGAAAGAAUUAGCUGGUGUCUGGGAUGUAACCUUCCCAGUGAAAUCCUAGAAUCCAAGUCAGCAAGGAGUUCAGAGUCGAAUUUAAAGUUGGACAGGCUGGGGCAACUUGGGAGAGUCUCUCCGGGCAAAUCAGAACCCAGUUGUCUGCCUUCCUGGGUAGUCACCUUUGUGUUAACACAAGGAACCCUGGUGAUCUUAACUUACUCCAUCAUCCUGGGCUUCAGUGUACUCAUUUCUAUAAUGAAGGUACUGGAAUAUAGUAUUCUGUCGUUCCACUAACUCACAAAGAAGGCAGCUCUUUCUGUUUUAUUCCACCAGUUUUUAGUGAGCAGAAUGAGAUAUUCUAAAAUCACAGUGUAGAUAAGAACUCCUUCGUAGCAAGAAAUGUCAUUUUCAGUCUACGAACUUUAAUUUCUCAUUCACAAGUCAAAGUGUAUUCGCAGAUACAUGUACUGAUGCCUGUCGCGGUGGACACACAGACGCACACAUUGCGGAACACCACCAUAAGAAUAUUGAGAAUAUCGAGAACACUUCAAUAUUCCAAACUUCAAUGGAAAUAUACGAACUGGAGUACACUCUUCUUCUGCCCUUGGACAUCAGGCUCUCUGGCCUUUGGACUCCAGGACUUAUACCAGCGCCCCUCUGGGUUCUCAGGCCUCUGUACUUGAACUGAGCCACACUGCCAGCAUGCCAGCUUCUCCAGCUUGCCAGGCCUGCUGUGGGACUUCUCAGCCUCCAUAAUCAUGUGUGCCAAUUCCCCUAAUAAAUCUCCUCUCAUCUGUCCACGUAUCUAUAUUUGCAUUCUGUUGGUUCUGUCUCUCUAGAAAAGUAUUACUAAUACACAGGUAGAGGAAGUCCCCAAGAAGAAUACUGAACUGACACCAAU
rnacentral:lncRNA from 10 species